UUUCUCUGUUUAGAUCUAAGAUUUGUUUGAAGUUAAUUAUAUCUAUUUCCAUCUCCACCAUCGUCUUCUUCUCUUCUAUAUCACCACUGUGGAUCAAAAUAUUCAGAUCUAUAAAUUUUGAUAUCCUCAAGAAUAGAUCUUUUAGUUUUCCUAUCUAAAUCAAGUUCAUUCUCCCAUCUAAAUUUGACGAUUCACUGGUUUUAAUUUUGUUUUUAAUUGGUUAUUCAAUUUCGAUAUUAUGCAUAUUAAAUGUUUGUUGUCUACGAGAGAAAAAAGAAGACGAAGAUGUCUACUAGAAAACUGAAGACGAAGAAAAAGAUGUCUACGAGGAAACCGAAGAUACAGAGAAGAAGAUGUUUACGAGGAAACCAAAGAUGUUGUGGACAAUAUCAUUGAUCUGAAUCUGAAAUGUUGUCCACUUAAGUAAUAGACUAAUAGGAAUCUGAUUACAUUUUUUUGUCCAUGCUUUUAUUACUUUAAAAAUAUUGUCCAUUUACCAGAUUAAAAAUUUCAAGCAAACGUUAUCGACGAUUAUUGGUCCAAGAUGUAUAUAUAUGGUUUUUUUUUGUCCAUGCGAAGCAGAUACUACAGACUUAUUUGUAUUUAUUUCAUGAUAUAUGUAUAUACUUAUAAUUUUUAGUUUGGUGGACAAAUUUAGACAUGUAUAUUUGGUUGUUGUCCAUAUAUGUGUGUGAUAUCAUCUUUGACGAAUCUAUUUCGAUGAAUUGAUAAUGUUGGACAAAAAAUAUUAAAAUAAAGAAAAAGAAGAGAAUAAAAA